UGGUUUGGAGCAGGAAAUUAUAUUGUUUUGACAGAUUUAAAUAAAGAUUAAAUGUUUAGUUUCACUACUAGAGCCCAUCCCCGGCAUAAAUAAAAUAUUGUGCAUUUUAAUAUUACGAGAUUUUUCUUUUGGAAACAAUUUAAUACUUUUUUAUUUGAUGAUUUAAACUGGACACAUUUUUGACAAAAUGUUCAACGCGCUUAAAACUGGACACGAGCAGUCAGAUGAGCCAUAAACAGUUCAGGUCCAGCCCGAGAGCCAGUGCUGGAGUCAGGGGACCUCCGCGCGCUGUCAGCCUCGCUGGAGCGGACCAGUGCACGCUGUCAUCCCCAGAGGAGGAUGCGCUCAUUCCGGGCCAAGAGCCUCUCGUUUAGCGUUUACUUUGAUGAACGUAGGACAUACGGACAGAUACGGGGCGGUGUACCCCCAGCGUGCAAAGCAAGCCUUCACAAUGUUUUGUCGCUUUGGGAAACUCGCCACUAUACAGAAACUAUUGCGCACGGACUUGGAUCUGACCAUCCGCGGUCCACCAUCAGGCCUUAUGGAAAAAUCACUGACAAAAGCAUAAUGAAACCCACCUUUGAAGAUGUGGCCAUAGCAAAUUUGUGUUCUUGGAUCCGGGAGUUCUUCUCUAUUCUGCACGUGUGGCUAACACUGGAGGGCGCCAUCGUGACAGGGAACUGGAUGUGUGAAGAAAAAUACCAAACUGCGAGGCAGGACAGAGACAGACACUCAACGUCUGGAAGAGGACAAAACUGUACAUUUUUAUGUGUAAGAAACAAACAGAUAAAAUAUUUGCAAAUAUUAAGUCUCUUGUUUGUUUUUCUUUUUUUUGGAGUGAAUGAAUGCUUAUUUUGUGUCAACAAAAGACAACAGGUGCAGUUUGCCAAAAAAAAGGCCACUAACUUGGUUUCAAAUUAGUUGUGUCAGGUCAGUGGUACAUGGAAGCACAUGAUUAACACCCCACAAUGGCAAACACACAGAACCAGUGACACUUAAACACUC